UACGAAGGGGGCUAGCGUUGCUCGGAAUCACUGGGCGUAAAGCGCACGUAGGCGGAUCUUUAAGUCAGGGGUGAAAUCCUGGAGCUCAACUCCAGAACUGCCUUUGAUACUGGGGAUCUCGAGUCCGGAAGAGGUGAGUGGAACUCCGAGUGUAGAGGUGAAAUUCGUAGAUAUUCGGAAGAACACCAGUGGCGAAGGCGGCUCACUGGCUCGGUACUGACGCUGAGGUGCGAAAGCGUGGGGAGCAAACAGGG
rnacentral:rRNA from 1 species